UACGGAGGAUGCAAGCGUUAUCCGGGAUGAUUGGGCGUAAAGCGUCCGCAGGUGGCUAUGUAAGUCUGCUGUUAAAGAGUGAGGCUCAACCUCAUAAGAGCAGUGGAAACUACAUGGCUAGAGUGCGUUCGGGGCAGAGGGAAUUCCUGGUGUAGCGGUGAAAUGCGUAGAUAUCAGGAAGAACACCGGUGGCGAAAGCGCUCUGCUAGGCCGCAACUGACACUGAGGGACGAAAGCUAGGGGAGCGAAUGGG
rnacentral:rRNA from 1 species